rnacentral:misc_RNA from 1 species
UACUGGCAGGAUCAACCAGGUAGCAUUCCUUCGCGACGCCAACGCCCGCAUGAGGCCCAACGAGCCGCACGGCCGUCGGACGCUCAAGACGGGAGCAGCAGUCGUUCGUGUCGAUNGACAAAAUGCGUUGCUCGGGCAAACGAAGGCCGAGAGACCCCGCGCCCGCGCAUAACGUUCUGCAUCCGAGAGCACGGGCAGAGCACCUCAUGGGCCAAGGCAACCACGCAACUGGGCGAGGCAUGCCAGGAGCACGAGGCCUGCCUGACGUCCACCCCACCACCCGUGA